rnacentral:rRNA from 1 species
GACGAACGCUGGCGGCGUGCUUAACACAUGCAAGUCGAGCGGUAAGGCUCCUUCGGGAGUACACGAGCGGCGAACGGGUGAGUAACACGUGAGCAACCUGCCCUUCUCAUCGGAAUAAGCGUUGGAAACGACGUCUAAUGCCGAAUAUGACAACGGAUCGCAUGAUCUGUUGUGGAAAGCUCCGGCGGAGAAGGAUGGGCUCGCGGCCUAUCAGCUUGUUGGUGGGGUAACGGCCCACCAAGGCGACGACGGGUAGCCGGCCUGAGAGGGUGACCGGCCACACUGGGACUGAGACACGGCCCAGACUCCUACGGGAGGCAGCAGUGGGGAAUAUUGGACAAUGGGCGCAAGCCUGAUCCAGCAACGCCGCGUGAGGGAUGACGGCCUUCGGGUUGUAAACCUCUUUCAGCAGGGACGAAGCGAAAGUGACGGUACCUGCAGAAGAAGGACCGGCCAACUACGUGCCAGCCGCCGCCGUAACAC